rnacentral:lncRNA from 1 species
UUAGGAGGAUUUCGUGGGAUCCCUGUGGCUGCUUGGGCAGGAGUGAAAGCAGAGAGGCCUCUGAGAGGUAAAUUCAGUAACUGAAGAGCAAGUAAUGACUAGCUGGAUAUGCUCUCCAAACCUAGGCAGCUGCUUUCAUACAGAGUAUGAACGCCUUAUAAUGGAAUAUUGGAGGACCUAACUCAAUUUUACCAGCUUUCUUUUCUUUGGACCAAAUACAUGUGGUAAACAUUUUAUGCAAAUAACAGCGUGCGCUCAAGGUUCAGGCAAGCACAUAAUUGCUUAAUGAAAGCAAUUACUAGCAUUAGAAAACACUUAUCUUGAUGUUUUCUCUUUCCGUGCCCAUGAAUG